GUACAAUCAGGUGCUAUAAAUUCGAACCUGAAUCGCUUUUGGCGUAGUACUUUUCUGCACCGUUUCUGCAAAAGUUUGUUGAAUCAAAAUGAAAGCCGUCGUUUUAAUCUUUGUUCUUGCUUUGACCGCCGUCUAUGGCUUCUAUUUGCAACCCAAUUUGUCUGGACAGGCCGGUGCCUACAAAAGCAACGAACAGCUUUUCAAAGCUUUGAGUGACUACUUCUAUGCCUUGAGCACUCGAGCUGUUAACGGUGUUGCUGCCACCAGAGGGUAGAUUCGAUAACUUUUAAAUACGAUUAUUGGAGUUGUGGUAUGACUAUGUAUUAGAUACAAUAUAAUUAUUAAUAAAAACAUAAAAAAACA